UGGUGGGGGUUGACAUGAGGAAGAAAAGCAAAUGAGAUGGGGCAUCUCAGGGACUCAAGCCUCAGACCUUGUUGUUGUCAGUUAGAGGAAGUACAAGGGACAUGUGCUCCGUUUGGCUCGCGCCUGUGUGAGCUGAUAGGCUUUUAUGAUGGGCUGUGUGUGUGUGUGUGUGUGUGUCUAAGUAGCAAGUUCGAUGGAACGACUUCUGGAACAAUAAUCUCCAUUCUCUGCAGCCAGCAUCCAGGGCUCUCCCCUGAUAACAGAAACAGUGUACAGCUAUGAGCUGUGAAUCCAGUGACAGGAUCUUUCUCCCAGUCAGAAGGCCGAGAGAACCCAGCACAUCCUCCAACUGCACAAGGCUUCCAGAACACCAUUUGCAAGUAUCUAAAUAAAUCCAUGCUCAACCGUAGCAUUUUUUCAAUGUUUUGAUGAAGUAACUGCCAAAGGAGGUGUUUAGUCUGUGCAAAUGUAUUUAUAGAGGAGAAGAAAUACACAUGGAAAGAAAUCCACACAAAUCCAUUGGACAUCAAACCCCCCCAGACAGUAUCCCUUUUUUGCUCCUCACUUCUAAAGUAUACUAAACUAUCAGGUACCCACUAAGGAGAUAAAAAUUUUAAGAAUGAGGAAGAUUAGAGAUUUGGUCUCAGCAUUCUGAAUUUUAAAACUUGUGCUUUUGGAAAUAUUUUGCAUGUGAAUGAAAAAGACGUUAAGCCCCAAUGGCCUCCUGCCCUAAACCAGAGAGAGGGAACAUUAGACAUUCCAUUUGCUUGAGGCUAUUCUUUGAACGUUGAAUUCAUUAGGUUUUAAAAGCCCCUGUUAUUCUAGCUGUGGACCAACAGACUCAGAUAAAAGGUGAAAAUAAGAACCCCACUCUUCUGCCAAAUUUCUACUGAAGAAAGACAAAGAGCAGGCGAGGAAGAGGUUUGCAACGAGGUAGCCGAGAAGGGUCCCUGGCAUGCAGUCUCAGUACCAGUUUUGGUUUGGAAAGAGAAUGGAAACAGAAACUGGUUUUUACCUGGUGGUGUUCAGUUACCUCAUCCUAAAAUUCCAUCCAGUGGUGUACCCAGGGCCAUGAUGAUCAUAGCCAGCGGGAGGCGAACCUGACCAGCCAAGGGCACCGGGAGCCAGCUCUGCGUCUGUUCCCGGGCCACAGUGGACCCCUUCCCAAGAGUGUCACAGCCCACGGGACUGUAGGCUUCUCGGGGCUGUGUCUCAGUCAUGCCUGCAUCCCAACAUGAGGAACAAGGUUGGCAGUCACCCCCAGAAUCUCCUCCUCCUCCUCCUCAGAGAUCGACCAUUCCUGUGUCAAAAGGACAGGGCUGGGGCUCGGGAACGUGGCCAGCCCCAGACCUCGAGAGGAGCCCCACGGCGUGCCAGGAAGGUGCUGGGUGAAACGUUAACACCCUGAGGCUGCCUGGCCUCUGGGCCCCAGCGCGCCCUUCUGGACACUGACCCCGUCCCCCCGCUGCAGCUUGGGCAUCCCUGGCUGUGCUGUGGGGGCAAAUGAGGGUUUGUUGCGUUUCCUUCUGUGGCUGUGCUAACAACAGGUGCAGGGGCUCCGUGUCUCUGCUACUGAAAAUAGUGCCUGGAAGGAAGGAAGUGGCCAGGCCUAAUAGCUGGUUUUAGCAGAAAUGUUAAGUCUGUCCAAGAACUUGAGUCAUGCUGUGGAAGGAGCAAGAUGCAGGACAUUUCAGAGUGCACACAGUCCGAAAAACAUUUUCUGGAGUCCUUUGACCAAUUUCAUUAGACGGAAAGCUGCAUGUGCACUUCUGUUCCUCUAAGCAAGCUGCUCUUUGGAAGUUUGGUCAUUUGCUCUGUAGCUGCUCUGUAAACACAGGGGAAUGGAGAAUGCUGGCUCCGGGGAAUGUGUUGUGCCGGGAUUGUGCAAGCACCGCUCGGUGAACCCCUUACACGCGUGGCUGGAGAAACACCACCAUCACAUGCCAUGGCCUGCGCAGCACCAACAGUUGAUUUUAAUAACACAACUGUUUUUGCAGGUGCAAAAAAUUCCAGAGCGAUUGCAUCUCUCAGUUUCAGUUUUGGUUGAGAAGAACGUUUCAAAAUUGAAACACCCCAACACCCAUCCACAUGAAUCCUCAGGGAAGGAGAAUACCCAAAAUGUUCCAUCUGCCAAAAGCUUGGGGCCUAGAUCUGAGGAUGCUCAUGUUCUCCAAAUUCUCCCCAAGGCACCAGUUGAAAGGUAUUGACAUUUCGAAUCAACAAGUUAUAUGCUUGAACCCGCUGUCUGAAGUUUCAGGAUAAUGUUAGCAGCUAAAGAAGAUCCUGAGCCAUCCUUUACCGGGACAGGCUAAUUCUAUUAUUGAGUGGCUUAGAAGGAGCUAAGAAAACAUUCCUUUCGUAGAAGUUGAAAAGAUCUGUAAGGAACACCGCUGCUUCUCCAUGUGUCUGAUUCUCCUCCAGAAACAAGGCUUCUCUCAUGAGUGUUCCUUCACUCACAUUGAAGACCCUACAGGGAAUCAAUACCACAUACAUGUGCCUUCUAGAGAAUUCUUUUGAAGGAUGAGCUGCUUCCAGCAAGGGAUAGGUGGGGAAAAUGUCAACAAAAGCACUGAUGAUGAAAAUUUAAUGUAUAUACUUGUAUAACUAACACCAAAGCAAAGUUGGGAAUGUGAUCAAAUAAUAGAAUGUAAACAUGUGUUCUGGCCAAGCAGGAAGAGUGUAACUAAAAAACGGUGGAAGAAGGGAGGAAGAAGGGACCACCAUCUCAUUCAUUGUUCAUUCUCUCGUAUUAUUCAUUAUAUCAAUGAUAUUGACAGAUACUGGGUAUGAGUCGUAUCACACCACUUAAAAUGGACAAAACAAUAAAAAGUGAAGAAAAAGAGAAAUCAAAGGUAUUAAAAAAGACAUAAGUCUAGAAGUAUCCAAAUGUUCCUGCAUGAAAACAGCAUGGCCAAAUAUCUUGAUCCAGUAAUAUGGCUGCUACAGAUGGAAUGUUUGUGUCUGUCCAGAAUUUGUAUGUUGAAGACUCUUUCCUCGGUACUGGGAAAUGGGGCCUUGGGAAGUGAUUAGGUCAUGGGGUAGAGCCCUCAUGAAUGAGAUUCAUGCCCUUAGAAGAGAGGCUCUGGAAAUCUCCCUCCUCCCCUCCAUUAUGUGAGGACACGGCAAAAAACAGCCAUUCCAUGCCUUUAUCUCAGACUUCCCACCUCCGGAACUGUGAGAAAUAAAUUUCUGUUGUUUAUAAGCCACCCAGUCUAUGGUAUUCUUGGUUUAGCAGCCUGAAUGGACUAAAACAAUGGCUCUGGAAAUUGCUCAGUUCAGUGAUUUGAAGGAGAGGAUAAGGAAAUGUUCACACACCAGACUCUGGGGAGGGGAAAGUGUGUGUCUAGAAAGAAAACAGUGCUUUGUCUCACUGCUUCGACUUGUUUCUAGUUAUGGGAUUUCAUCUGUUUUGAAUUUUAUAAACAUUUCAAUAAUGUAUGAGAUUUUUGGGAUGAUGAAAAGAGAAAAUGGGUUUAAAAGGGUGAAGAAACAGUAAUCUAAGCAAGUUUCCAUAUUUGGAGGAUAAGUGCAAGCACCUGAAAUCGAGUCUCUUCAUACAGACUUAAAUUCAACAGGAGCACAAGAGUACCACCCGUAGCCCAUGACGUCAGCAUGAGAAGAGACAGAAUACCCCAAACUUCAAAUUACCAACAAGGAGAGAAAUGAAGGCUGUAUCCCAAGAGAGCUCCUAUCACUUGUCACUAUAACCUGGGUCAGCACGUGGGCAGCUUAACAUACACCAGGCUUUCAGACACCUGUGUCUCAGGAUCGGUGACUCCUUUAAGUCUCCAGAUCUCCUGAAGGGGGGUCUGUUGCUCGUGCUCAGGCGGAUCACUCGGUGUGCCCGUCAGCUGUGCCCUGCGGUCUGUGCUGUGGCCUGUGAGAUGGAUGGCAGCAUCACAUUGCCACUCAGCAAGGUCAGUGGCAAACAUGGGAAACUACAGGGUGGUCGUACGUGAAAUACGUGCAGAAAACAAAAGCUGAGCGUGGCUUCCGUAGCACAAAUACAAAAUGCCCCGAAUGCUCUUCCUGCAGUGGUUUUGUCGUUCGCUGUAUGGUCUGAAUCCACAACUAUUCAUUCUGAUAUUUAGUAAUUCCUUUUUGUUUGUUUGUUUGAUAAAUAAACAAUGUGGGGAACAAUAUACUUUUUUAAAAAGUACGUGCUUAGUGAAAAAAAUUAUUACUAUCUUUUUGAUUCUUGGGGAAGUUAUAAUGAACAUGUAAUUUACACUAAAUUUUUGUGACAUUCACCAUCCAGCCAGGGACUGGCCACAAGAAAACCUGUGGACAAAACCUACUAAAGGACUGUCAGCAUCUAUUUCAGAAGUUAGUCGUUAUUUUAAGAAGAUUGUAGGGGUGCCUGGGUGGCUCAGUCGUUUAAGCGUCCAACAUCAUCAGCUCAGGUGAUGAUCUCGCGGUUUGUGAGUUUGAGCCCCGCGUCAAGCUCUGUGCUGACAGCUUGGGAGCCUGGAUCCUGCUUCAGAUUCUGUAUCCCGCCCUCUCUCUCUGCCCCUUCUCUGCUUGUACUCUCUCUUUCCCUCUCUGAAAAGUAAAUAAAGAUUAGAAAAGAUUUUUUAAAAAGAUCAUACUUGAAGUUGGCUAUUUAACAUAAGUGGAUACCAAAAAUGUAUUUAUGUAUCACCGUGAAGUAGUGCUGACUUUGUAUUUAGAUCAAAUGUCUUUUUUCUUUUUUCUCUUUAAAAAAUUUUUAACGUUUAUUCACUUUUGAGAGACAGAGAGAGACGGAGUGCGAGCAGGGGAGGAGCAGAGACAGAGGGAGGCACAGAAUCCGAAGCAGCUCCAGGCUCUGAGCUGUCGGCACAGAGCCCGACGCGGGGCUUGAACUCACUGACGGGGCCACGAGAUCAUGACCUGAGCUGAAGUUGGAGGCUUCCGGGACUGAACCACCCAGAUUGGUUUUCCCUCCAAACUGUGCUUUGAAUUCUGUUAUCUCCAAGGUUGGAGCUGGAGCGGGAGUUGGGAUUGCAGAAAGUGUGGAGGAAGGCACAACUUUUCAGCUGGUGGAUACGGUGUCAGCUCUGUGGGCUCAAUAGAAUUCUCAAGGCCUUGUGAGUUUUGAAAACUGCCGUAUUUCCUCUAAUUUAAGACUCACUCUAUUUUUCUUACAUGUCAAAAUAAAUUAAAAAAAAAAAAAAGAAAAAAGAAAUUGCCCCAUCACGCAGAACGAGUUAAAAAGUUUUCAAAGCUGGGGGGAAUUGUUGUGACCGUUUCAUGCAUCAUUAAAAAAACAAAAAAACAAAAAAACAAAAAAACAAAAAAACAAAAAAAACCCCUGUUAUUCAGAAUUCAAAAUCUGUAGAAAAUUUCUAGUGACUUUCACUAGAAGCUGUUUAAUGUUUAUCCUUAAAAAAAAAGAAAAACAAAACUAUAAGUUUAACCAAAGAGGAAAUGCCAGUAAACCCCUAGGAUUCUCCAUGAUGCCUUCAAAUUAUAUUGUCAAUCUUAAGUGUGCUAAUGAGGCCAAACUCUUAAGCAUGGCUGAAAAGCAGCCGGUCCCCACCAGGCUAUGAAAUAACUGGGGGUACAAAAUGAUUUGGAAGAAUAUUUAAUCUCUGAUUAUGAAAGAAGCCAGAGUUAAGCUUUGGUAAUUGUGAAUGGUGUAGAGUCUGUGUCUAGAAUCGUUUUUUUGUGCAUGGACAUCCAUUGUUCCAGCACCACUGGUUGAGAAGACCAUGUCUUUUCUCCAUUGUAUCACUUUGCUCCUUUGUCAAAGAUCAGUUGACAAUACUGAUGGGAGUCUGUUUCUGGGUUCUCUGUUCUGUUUCAUUGGUCUGUUUGUUCUUUUGCCAAUACCACACCCUCUUCAUUACCGUAGCUUUGUGGGAAGACUUGAAUUAGAUAGUGUCAAUCUUCCAGCUUUGUUUUUCUCCUUCAAUACUGUGUUGACUAUUCUGGAUAGUCUGUGUCGCCUCUCCACGUAAACUUUAGAAUCAGGUUAUUGGUAUCCACAAAAUAACAUGCUGGGAUUUUAGUGGGAUUGCAUUGAACUUAUAGAUCAAGUUAGGAAGAACUGACAUCUUGAAAAUACUGAGUCUUUCCAUCCGUGAACAUAAGACAUCUCCCCAUUUAUUAUUUAUUGAAUUCUUCUCUAAUACUCUUAUCAGAGUUUUAUAGUUUUCCUCAUAUAGAUCUUAUACAUAUUUUGUUAGAUUUUUAUUUCAUUUUGGAGGGUGCUAAUAUAAAUAGUGUUAUGUUUUGGUUUUGUUUUUUUAUUUGAGAGAGAGAGGAUUUCCAGCAGGCUCCACACUCAGUGUGGAACCUGGUACAGAACUUGACCCCAUGACCCUGAGAUCAUGACCUGAGCCGAAAUCAAGAGCCAGAUGCUCAAUCAACUGUGCCACCCAGGAGCCCCAGUGUUAUGUUUUUACUUUCAAAUUCCCCUGUUCAUUGCUGGUAUAUAGGAAAACGAUAGCAGCAUAUAAUUGCACAGAUGUGUGAAUGCUAAAGUAAUUUAAGAGUAUAUACAGUUAAUUUAGCUCCCCAAGCUCUCCCUGUCUUUUUCCCUCCUCUCUUUCUUUCUAACUUCUUUAUUUACUUCCUUCUUUCCUUUCUUUCUCCCACUGAAAGGCUUCUAUUCAAGUGAUAGAGCAUCUUACAAUCAGUAGCAUCUCAGAAUUGGGGAAAUAGCAUCUCGUGUUGCUUGAUAUGGGAUGAAGGGAUGGGGAUGCCUUCAAACAGGUGGGAUUAUUGGCUCUCUUUAGAGAAGAUACUGAAGAGAUCAAAUCACCAUAAAAGAGUCAAGUGCAGAUAAACAUAAGCAAGGGCUGGGUUCCUUCCGCCUAUUUGGAGCGGGUGGAGAAAGGGUGGCUCUUGGUUUUGUGAGCAUGGCAAGUGGGUCAGAUGGGCAGAAAGCAACUCUCAAAAGAAGGGAGGCAGUGAAAUUUGAGCAUUUAGAGAUCAAGUACACAACCUUCCGUAGGGCCUUUGCAUCUACUUGUUCCCUUUGACCAGGCCAUUCUUCCCCUAGAUAGCCUCAUGGCUUUCUUCCUCAUCUGCUAUAAGUUUUUGCUUAUACUUCAAUUUCUCACUGAGGUUUUCUUUGACCACCACACUAACAAUGACAAAGUCCUACUCCCUAUAUUCCCUAAUGUCCUUCUCUGCAUUUUCUCCCACAGCAGUGCAAGGAACAGAGAAAGAAACUGAAAGGACAGGGAGAAGGGGAAAGUGCGUCUCCCCUUAUUUUUUAACAGGGAGAAUUAAGCCUCUUAUUUUUUUUUUAAUUUUUUUUUUUAACGUUUAUUUAUUUUUGAGACAGAGAGAGACAGAGCAUGAACGGGGGAGGGCCAGAGAGAGAGGGAGACACAGAAUCGGAAGCAGGCUCCAGGCCCUGAGCCAUCAACCCAGAGCCCGAUGCGGGGCUCGAACUCACGGACCGCGAGAUCGUGACCUGAGCUGAAGUCGGACGCUUAACGGACUGAGCCACCCAGGCGCCCCAAGCCUCUUAUUUUUAAUUUGCUUGUGCUCUUAAAUGCGCCAGAAUCUAGAAUAAUGCAUAGGGUAGAAACUCACUAAAUAUUUGUGGGAUGAAUGAGGGAUCCUGGUGUGACUGUCGGAAUGCUUCAUCUAUGAGUUCAAGCCCCAAUUACAAAUUGUGUUCCAUGUAAACAUAGUUCCAAGGGAUGUGAAUAGGCAUUUCCCCCCUUGUUCGGCAUUUGUUCCGUGUCAUUUUUUUGCUUUAUCCUCAUUUAAAAGAAAUGAUUGUGACAUAACUUAUAUGCAGUAAAAUUAACCUUUUAGGUGCAUUCAACUCUGUGAGUUUUGACGAACGCACAGUUGUGUAGUCAUUGCCCCUACUGUGAUGUAAAAUAUUUCCUUCACUCCAAAAACUUCCCUCUUGUCGGUUUCUAGUAAACCUUUCCCCUACUCCCAGACUUUGGUGGCCAUUUGGCAGCUUUCUACUCUUACAAGUUUUGCCCAUUCCAGGAUGUCACAUGAAUGGUAUUAUACAAUAUGUAGCCUUUGAGUCUGGCUUCUUUCCCUUCAUACAAUGUACUUGACAUUCAACCAUAUGGCUGCAUGUGUCAGUAGUUUAUUCUUUUUUGCUGUGGAGCAGUAUUCCCUUGUAUGAAUGUAUCCGUUUGUUCACCCAUUCAUUCAUUAACUGUGGAGGGGAGGAAACACACUUUUUCCUCUACCCUCUGAGGUUCAGUGGCUGGAGCCCUGCAAACUGAACUGACAAAAGACAAAUUAACAGGAGAAAAAAAGGUUUAUUUCAUAUGUGCAUAAGAAGGGCUUCACAGAAAUCAAAACCCCACAGGAGCCUGGGUGGCUCAGUUGGUCAAAUGUCUACUUCUGCGCAGGUCAUGAUCUCCCGGUUCGUGGGUUCAAGCCCCGCAUCAGGCUGACAGCUCAGAGUCUGGAGCCUUCUUCAGAUUCUCUAGUCUCUCUCUCUCUGCCCCUCCCCCACUCGCAGUCUGUCUGUCUGUCUGUCUCUCUCUCUCUCACUCACUCACUCAAAAAUAAAUAAACGUUAGAAAAAAAAUGAAAUUAAAACCCUAAAGAGGCAGGCAGACCUUAAAGCUUAUCCACCAUUUUAGCAAAAGGGCAAUAAAUUUGCAGAGCUAUAAUAAGAAAAACGGAAAGGGUUUGAGCUUCUAGGGGUGGUAAAUUGUGGGAAGGUAAAUAUAUGGGGAAACUAAUGGAAGAUAAGGUUUAUUUAGUAAAGGCUGUUUGUGUAGGUCCAUCUUGGUGCCGACUUUCCAUCUGCUUUGUGGCCAUAAAACUCGCCCAGGAGAGGGCAUUUACGGCAGCCCUCAUUUCUCAGAAGUUUCCGUUCUUAAUCAGAUAGGGGAGGCUCUGAGAAGGCCUGUUUCUUCAUCCUUUGAUUCUCAAUUGGCUGUAGCUCCAAAUCAUCUUUACCCCAAAGUGGCAUAUUUUGGGGUGGCAUAUUCUGGUCCCCUUCCGAGGACAUUUGCCCUGAUUCCUGUUGUGGGUGAUGAUGAAUGAAAUGCUUUGAGCAUUUGUGUCCUAGUUUGCUGUGAAUGUAAGUUUUUUUUUUUUUCCCACUUGGAUCAAUACCUCGGAGCGAGAUUUCUGGCUGUAUGGUAAGCGUACAUACGGCCUGAACGUGAGGACAAAGAGAGGGUGGCCAUCCACAAGCCAGGAAGAAAGCUUUCACCACAAACCGACCGUGCCCCCAGAACUGUGAGAAAAUACAUUUCUGUUGUUUAAGUCACCCGGCCUAUGGAAGCUUCUUAUGGUAGCCCAAGCUAAGACAGUAUGUAUUUGACUUUAUUUUUCAAAAUUGCCCAUUUCCCAAAGCUGUGGCACCAUUUUGCACCUUGACCAGCAGCAUUACAAAAGUCUCAUCUGCUCUGCGUUCUCACUAGUACUUAGUAUUGCCAGUUUUUUUAAAAAGUCAUUCUAAUAGGGUGUAUGUUUUAAAUUUUCACUUCCCUAUUUACUAAUGAUGUUGAACAUCUUUUCAUGUUUAACAGGGUUUUCAACCAAGUGGAACAGAUUUUCUUUCUUUACUGCAGGACUGCACUCAGUCUUACUAUAUUUAUGCACCGUGUGAACUGCCUAAUGGGAAGAUUGCUGGGACUAUGAUUUUGACUUGACUGGAACUCUUAUCUCAUGGUCAAGAUUGCAAGGCUAGGAUUCCAGUGAGAAUAUUUUAGCAAAUGCUGGCCUGAGUAUAUGGUCAAGUACACACUCUUUUGUGGAGCAUUUAAUCUGUUUGCAACCAACUCAUUCAGUCUUACUUCCCUUUGGUCCCUAUUCCCAAGAGAAACAUUUUUGAGGUAUCAGUUAUUCCACCUCCAAGCCUUUGCUCAUGUCAUUCUACCUGCUUGAAAUGCCUUCCCCCCUUCCCUUCUUCUCCCUGAACUCACCCAGCUUUGCCCAUCUGGCUCAUGCCCACAGGGAGCUUUUCCUGCCCACAGUGAUCUUUCUCAGACCUCCCGAUGACUGGGCCACUCAUGGGGACUCUUGAUCACAUCCUGCCUAGCUUUUUUCUAUAUUUUCCCCAAAGUUGCUCUGCUCUGCUUUUGUAAUGGGAUAGUUAGUGGAAGGCUCUGAUAUCCUAGACUUUUUAAAAAGUCCCCUGAUGCGUUGAGUUGUGUGCAUAGCUCCUGCUUAUAAACCCCUGUUGAAUUCAGCUAAAGUAAAUUAAUAGCCAUUUAUAUCAGCUCACUUAAAUGUUAACUCUCCACUUAUCCAGGCACCAAGAACAAAGGUCGGAAAGAGAAGUUUGUUCACAGUUCCUGACUGAACGGGGAGAAGACAUUUAAUGGAAACAUGAACCUCAUGCCUGGGUCUCCUGGAACUUGUAGCUGAACCUAGGAGUUUGUGGCCAAGCCUGCCAACCACAUCCCCCAACGAUUUCUUCUCUUUUGGCACGUUGGUCAUGGAGUUGGGAGAGGAGAGCACCCAGUCCGUUCUUAUCUUUAAAGAGAGAAGAAACAGCGAAGUCUGUGACAUUCAGGUUUCUGUGCCCUCUCUCCUCUCGUUGGUCAUCUUGCCCAGCUCAGCAGACUGUGCAUACCCAGCUCACUAGCCAGAGAACUGGCUAGCUCAGGCAGCUGUAACUUCAAGUGGGCCUGAGUCCUCUUCACCCCAACUUGAACUCCAUUCUGUUAACAACACUCCAGAGCUGUACUUCUUAACGUAUAAGUCAAACUACAGUAGUGUUUGGGCUGCCCUAGUGCCUGCAACACUCCUGAACAUUGGAAACAUGCAUCGACUUCCUCCAGGUAGAUGCAGCCCCAUGCAAGUGUGCAUGGCUUGGAUUCCUGAGAUGCUUUGGUGGAAUAGAAACUUCAAAGUGAUGCCAAGCAAGGUCCUAUAGUUUCUCGGGUGACCUGUUGCACAACCGUGCUAGAAAACUUCAAGUCUUAUUCAGAGAACUGAUAGAGAGCCUGUCUUUGGAAGCAAAGACCUGGGUCUGAAUCUGGACUCAGCCACUUACUACCUCUGUGUUCUUGGUGAUAAAGGUAAUUCUUUUUUUUUUUCCCCUUUUCUUUAAAAAAAAUUUUUUUUUAAUGUUUAUUUAUUUUUGAGAGAGAGUGUGAGCAGGGGAGGGGCAGAGAGAGAGGGAGACACAGAAUCCAAAGCAGGCUCCAGGCUCUGAGCUGUCAGCACAGAGCCUGAUGAGGGGCUCCAACUCACAAACCCUGAGAUCAUGACCUGAGCCGAAGUUGGACGCUUAACUGACUGAGCCACCCAGGCGCCCCGUUUUUCUUCCUUUUCAAUGAUAAACGUAAUUCUUAUAUCGGGACCUGCAAAAUCGAGGCUUCCGCAGUGGCAUGGCCCACCACACAAAUCGAAACCUAAGUGUGUAGCACUUAAGGGAAAUGUGUCACUGUCACAGAAACCUAGCCUAUGCCAGUCACAAUCACCCAACUCAGCUCUGCCUUACCUUAGCCUAGAAAAUAGGAACUUUGAGCUUUAUAAGGAAGUCCCCACCCUCUUGGCCAUUGAUUCUCUGAGUUGCCGUUUCUUAUGCUCUAAAAAAUCUGCUGUUGCCCCAACUCCCUCAGGAAGAAUGCUUUUUUACUGCUUGAGAAGCGCUGUCCUCCCCCAAUGCAUGGGUCAUUUCCCCGUGAAUAAAGGACAUCAAAGUCAUUGCACGGUUUUAUUUUUGUCAUUUGACAUUGGGAAAAUCACUUAACCUCUCUGAAUUUCAAUUUCAUCCUCUAUAGCAUGGGCAUGAGAAUUCUUUCGUCCACAAACUCUCAGGGUAUUGUCAACAUUCAGUGAGACACUACCUGGAGGGCCUGACGCAUUGUGAAUACUCAAUAAAUGGUUACAUGGUAUGAACUCAUUUCUACUGUAAGUUCCUAAAGCUUGAGUUACAAAUAAAAUGUGACAAAAUAUGCAUGCAUUUUCACAUGUGAGUGUUUUCACUUGACGCAACUGAAACAAUUCUAGGGAGUUCAUGACCUCGAUCUCUUUAUUCAUUGUAUAUGAAGAGGCAUGUGGCAGGGGUCCUUCACAUAACUCCAUCCCACCGCUGUCCCCAUAAGUGGUUACAGAUCUUAAGUGGGUGGCACUGGGGUUCACUGAGAAAUACCCAGAUCAUUCCUUCAAACCUUGUGAAGUUACUUUUGUCAACAAAUGUCAGCUUUGGGAUUCUCCUUCUAAAAGCUCAUUCUCGUCUUCCUGGGAAUUCUUAACUAGCUCCUUUGAGAUCCAGUAGAAGCAAGGAAACCACUUGCUUAGGAAGAAAUAAACUAUCUGAAGUGCAUACACCUUUGCAAAACUCAGCCAUUGUGCUCAGCUCAGCACUUUUUUUUUUUUUUUUCAGGAUUUGAGGGGCCAAUCUACCUAGUCAAAUGCUAUACAAAAGACCUUUUUUCUGGAAUCAACUUCCAGCAAGGGAUUAGCACCAGUUCUGAGAUUCCAUCUGUCUUGUUUACAUUCCUUGUGCGAUUUCAGAACAUCGUGUUCCCUUUCUUGUAAUUGCACAACAAAAGCACUGCCACAGGGCCCUGGAAUGUCUUUCCGCUCCAUGUCAGGAUUUCCUUCUGGCUGGCAUUCUUUGCAGACAGCUCUGGGACCUCCAGGUGGGCUGGUUCAGAGAAGAGAACUUGGGCUUUAGAGACAGACGGACAAACCUCCAGUUCUGCUGCUGCCAUUCGUGACAUAUUCACUGAACCUUCCUUCUGUAAAAUGGAGAUAGUAACAUUUUAGCCUUUGUAGGAUCCUUGUGGAGAUUGAAUAAGACGAUGUGUGUAAAUCAUCCAGCACAGGACCUGGCAAUCUUAGGUACUGCGAUAAGUGACGUCAUUAUUUUAAUUCUGGUGCCAAGGGACCUUGCAGCAUUCAUUUCUUUCUUGUGCCCAGCAUCAAAAUGCUCUACCUUUGCCUGACUUCUCCAAAGGAACACACACACCUGUCCCACUGGAGAAGGUGUUAAGUGAUGCAGAUUCUUGGCUUCACUAUCUUUUAAAAUAUUCUGUGGCUGGGCAAAAAGGCUCUCUUGGUGACCCGCUGGUCACUGUUUAAAUCAGUGCUGCUUUUGUAACAUCGCUGGAGACAGAGGAGGGACACCUGACUGUUGACUGGGAAGCAGACACGUGAAGGGCCUUGUAAUGAUGUCCACCUGAACACGAUGAUCCAGAACAGCUGUGGUGUCUCGGCAGCUCGCCCUUUGCAAGGUUGGAAAGGAGUGGGUGUGGCCACAGGUCCUACGCUCUCGUUGUGCACGGUUAUGGGCCAGGAACGCUCACUUGGCAAUGAAUACAUUGUCACCGAACUUGCUGUACGUGGGGGCUACUCUGUCAAGGUGAAGGCCCCAGACAGGCCCCCGAGCAGUCUGAGAAGCCUUAUGUGGGGUUCCCCAAAGGAAUUUCACGGCGCACUCCACAGCCAGAAGUAAGCAUCUUCUUACUUAGCAAAACAAAAGUUGAUGGACACAGACGGAGAGUCCCACACUGGUGUAUCCGUGGUACAAAGAUGUGAGAUUGGGAACAAAGAAAGAAGCAGACCACAAUGGGUGGCAGCACGUACCGAUAUUAAAAGGACCAGCAAAUAGUGCAAAAGAUUCUCUAAAAGGUCUCCCAAUAGAUAUUACUGCUUUGCCAGUUGGCCUUAUUUUCUUGGCAACCCAUGAAACUAGACUUUUAACCCCGGAAACAUUUAUCAGACUUGAGAGACACAAUGCAGACCCAAAGAAUGAACGUCUCAGGAGGCUGUGCAUGCCAGCUUGGCACGUAUGUAAUCAUUAUAAAUCAUCUCACAGAAAUUUCCAUGCAUUCUCAGUACUAGUUAAUAACUAACUUUAUAUGAGAAUUUACAAUGGAGUUCUUUGCUGGUGUUAGGUCAUUUGAGCCUCACACGGGAUAGGGAGAGCAGACAGGUGAGGAAAGUGAGCUGUAGAGAAUUUAAAUUGCAGAGGAGAUUGAACUCCAAUCUUCACCCCGUAAAUCCCACAUGUUUCCUGCUAUUCUGAGGAGUCCGUUUCUACUGCACUGGAGAGUAUGGCUUCAAGAAGGAGCAGGGCACAGGGCUUUGCCACACUUCGCUGAAUUAGCUGACGAAAGUUCUUCAGGGCGAAGAAGCCAAUAGCACACUCAGCCCUCCGUUCACAUGAAAGCUUGGAUAUCCUCAGCCACGGCAGAACUAUGUUUCUAAUUGAACAGCGAGGGUCCCACAUCACGCACAUGAGUCUCUAGGACAAAUGGCUGGGUUCUGUCACUGGAGGUGAUUAUCCGGUUUUAGUCCAGAAAUUAAAAAUGAUGUCAUGGUCCAACCGGGCACACCCGGUCUUCCACAUGGACGGGCUUGCCGGUUGUGAGUUAUUGUGAAGGGGUGGGUCCUCAAACGGGUCUUCAGAAUUCAGAAAGUGGGCCUCUGGCAGGUAAGACAAAGAAUCCUGAGGCUUUUCUGAGCCUGGCUUCUUGGGUCUGAAAUUGGAGGAACCAAGAAAUGCUUUAAAGGAUUCUAGGUGGUAGGAGUUCAGUAAGACCCCAGGGUCUGGAGGGCAGCUUGCUACUUGUACCCUGGAGAUCACGGUGGUGUUUCUCCUACUUCAGGAUAUUCGGAAUUCUCCGUGCAUUCACAGAGAGCUGCCAUCCCGUUCCAUUAAGACAUUCCAGUUCAACGGUUCCGUGUUGUGUUAGCUGUGUAAAGUGGGGAGGUUGGGUGGGUGAAGAAACAGGGAGGGAGGGUAUUAGCAGAAGUGCCAUAUGCCUAUCCUCGUGCCAGGCUGUUAAAUAAGGGUGAGGCGAUGGUCCCUAAAGCCUGGGCUUGCGGUCAGCAGACCUCAGGGAGCAAACCUGUGGCAGAGGGUCUGCUGCCCUUCUCAGUCAGCAUCGGAGAAGACAUGGGAUUUCCCAAAGCCGGCACCUUUUGGUGGUUCUGUUACUCUUUCGAGGCCAAGCAAGACAGACACGCUGUGCACCCAUGUAAACAGAAGGUAACGAGUUCUUCUUUUUCUCAUGGCCUCUUUCAUGCCCACAGCAGGCCGAAUGUUCUAGCCUUAUGGGAACCACCUCCCCUCCCCCCCACCAUCUUUGAUUAUCAGAGUCUGAAUUUGUAGCCUUUGUUACUGUGGGCUGCACUUUGCAGUGUCUUCAAACACCGGGAUACACGACAUGAGGUCAAUAGGUGCGAAAUCUUCAGUCUUUGGUUGUUUUGAAAUAAUUUCAUAGGAAAAAUUCUGGAGAACUGACCCCUUAAAAAUCACGAGCAGACGUUUCCUGAGAGAUCAAGCUUAAAUUGUUCUUUGGGGCAGCCUGCUCCCACUUAACGGGGCCCUCACCAUUAACCAGAUGGAACUGUGCACUGUCCUGGGGGCUCUGGCUUUGCCCCCUUUUGGCGGCACUGAUGGAAGACGGUACAAAGAGAGAAGCAACGAUUCUUGGCUCCGUAAGGACUUAGAGCAAGUUGCACCGAGACCUGCACUCUUGCCUGGACUGUAAGUGGCUGGGUCUUCCUCCCUCACAGUUGUAGUGUUCUCUGUGCAGUUGUUCCUAAGGGCUGGAAAGCCGAUGGCGGCCCUCUGCGAGAAGGACAAGCAGACAGGAUCACCACCCCAUGCCGGAGGAUUGGAUGUCACCAGAAUGGGCUUUGGCCCGGCACUCCCCAGAUCGGAUUCCUGGGGUCCACUGAGUAAGCAUGAUCCCACCAACUCUAAUGCCUGUAGGGACCAGGCAACAAUAGAAAUUGUUAACAAGAGACCGGGUGGGAUUCUGGCAGAUUGGAGAACAUGGGUCCCUUGGGAGGGAACAGCCGCUUCCGAGCUGGAGCUGGUUGCUGACCCGCAGUUAGAGGGGCAGAGAGUGUUGCUAUGUCUUCUUAUCUGAGAUGAGAUGGAAAUCUUGAUUGUUUUUUCAUGUGAAAUAUCUCAACUGGAAUACUGAUAGCAGUUCAGGUUUUUAAAAACCGCUUUGUAAGUUUAUGACAUUGAAGUUGAGGGUCUGUUGUCUCAACACUCUGCUGCCAUACAUCAUCUACAUAUUUGUCCCUGACAACGCUAAUAACAUUGACCUGUAGGGCUCCAACUCUCCCUCUUCCUUCCUUUCCAUCUCCCGGGGCUCAGAAUACAUGGCUUGCUGAAUUCCCCUGAGCAUCCUGUGAGGUGGGCAGGGGUGAGAGGCUUCAACAGCUUUCUGCGGCAAAGCGGGUCCCCAGGGCCCGAUGAGGGCACCCCUAGCCCUCACUCCUAGGAGGUGCCCCUCUGGGCAUGGGACAAAGCCUCCCACUGCUGCAAGGCAAGCCCUGCUGGGGUGACACAGGACACAUGGAAUCCACUGCAUCAGUAAUGACACUGUCCGGAGGUCUACAAGAGGAAGUGAAAGGAAAGCCCAUCAAAACCCAUCCAGAAGAGCAGGGAAAUUCCAUGUAGCCAGGGUCUACCCACACCACUGGUGGCAGCCGGGCUCCGCAGAGAGCCCCAGCUCUGUAGCUAUCUUGCAGGGCCUCUGUGCACGGGCUGCCUUAAUGUGCUGAUGCGAAUGUCAAUACCGGCCCCUGUCGUAAUCUAAAGGUCAGCAGAUGUGUCCUCUGGCAUGUGGGGCCUGCAGGGGCGCUAGUACUGGAAACACCUGCAGUGCUGAGGCUGUGCCCAUCCAGGUGGCUUCUGUGGGGCCCCGGGCUGGGCUGGAACAGUGUUGGAGAAGCCCUCUGCUGAUGGUUGCGGGCCCUGCCAGUGGGCUCUCCUCCCCCACCCUGCAGGAUGAGUGGUGUUAGCCAGCUUUCCCUCCUGUCGUGAGCACGGUGUUCAGGGCAACCACGUGUCCUCUGAGAGGUGAUAGAAAUAAUGAGAACAAGAAGACAGGCCCAAAGUAGACUUUACUUUGAUCAGACCCCAUAUGUGUGUCGUGCCGUGAAGGGAAUGGCCCGGGAUCUGGAGCCUCUCCGCUGCCUCCUGUCCCCUUUGGGGAAUGGUUUCUCUGGGGAACCUUAUUCUUUCAGGAUCCUGUCUGCCCGCCGAUUCUCCCCGAUGGUCUUUAUAGCCUGGUGCAAUUUGGCUUUAAUACACCAGAGAAAUAUGAAUGGGAACAGAAACACAACACAGAUGUCCACAGCCUCUUCCCCUGUGUCACAGAACUACGUAUGUGCUUUGAGCUAGUGGUUUUGAGGAAUGAUGAAAAACAUGUGGUUUUACCCCAACUUCCAAGAAUUAGAGGCAGAUUCUAGGAGGGUGGGGACUGCCUGAACUUAAAAAUAGUAGCACAACACAUCUGGUGAGGGGAUAUUACUGCCCAUUAAAAGGACAAAAUAGGAGUUGGUCUGUGGGGUAGUGCAUAUAUGUUCCCAGCUUUCCCGGUGAGGCCCAGCCCUGGGGGUGCUGCCUUCCCUUGACGUUGAGGACUGAUAAAGAAUUCCUCCGAUUUCUAAUGUUCACAGAGAACAGUGAACCUCCUGGUGGUGAGCCAUAUCUCCCUGGAAUGUAUCCUCACUUUGCCAGAGAGAAGUUUCUAGAACUAAGCCUGACCAUGCACGUUACUCCCCCGUUUAAAUGCACUCUUUGGUUCUCAGACUCAGCAGGUUGUACCAGACCCCUGAUGUUCAGGCUCCCGCUUAUCUCAGAGGUCCACAUAUAGUCCAUGUUUUCUCUUGCCGUUUGGUUUCGUUCUGUUCCAAUUCUCUUUCUCCGCUUGACUAACUCUUACUUCAAGAUUCAGGUUAUGGGAGAUUUCUGGGAUGACUGCCCAGCACUGCCCACCCUAUCUGAGUUAAGGGCUUGGCACUCGCAUAGCCCAACCGCCCAUGUGUCUGACCUGGCAUUAAGCAUGCACUUUGAACGGUCUUUCUCAUUCUCUUGUGUUUUCCAUCGCAUUAUGCGACCUUCAAGUGCGGGGAAGCACAUCUCCUCUUUGUUCUCCUGAGUACAGGUUUUUCUACCAGUAAAAAUGUAUGGAGCUCUCCUUAUGCCUUAGUUGCUAUGCUAAGCUCUACGGAUGCGGUGGCAACAAACAUACAAAAAACAUGCAGGAAUAAAGACAUGAUUGCCCCCCUGUAUUAGUUUCCUAGGGCUGCCAGCCCUAGGGUUUCCAUCCCUAGGGGUAGCCCACAGGAGAGAAUCGUGGCUGGCUUUUGUGACUAUUAGCUCAAUCUUCACCCACUUCCCUUCAAGCUCAACCCACAGACUGGGUGGCUUACGCAACAGAAAUGUAUUGUCUCACAGGUGUCCGCGGAGAGUAACGUGACUGGCAUCAGCCUGCAGGAAGCUCACAGUCUGGGAGGAAAGCCAGACCUGCGAGCCAAUCAGUAAUACUGAAUGACAAUGGCCACACUACACACCGGAGCGGGGGCUCGGGAAGCACAGAAGCCAGUCCUCUGGGAAGCGCUGAGCAAAAAGGGAGCAAGAGUGAGAGAGGGGGCCGGUUGGGAGAAAAGCUGCUGAGUGGAUUUGGCUGAAGUCCUUCUGCCUUGAGCAGACAGGGCCCCCAGGGGAAGUGGCUCUAGAUCUUUGUACAAAGGAGUUAAGAGGCUGGGACCGCACCUACCCCGCUGGGUGUACUCUUUGGCUUUUUUUUUUUUUGGUUGAAACGUAGAAUUCAUGUUUUUGUUGUUGUUCCUGGUGAGGGGAUGUGGAAGAAGAGUGAGCUAAUAGUCACAAAAGCCAGCCAGGAUUCUCUCCUGUGGGCUACCCCUACGGAUGGAAACCUGGAGGGACUCUGUUCCCAGGCACAAGGUUGUAAACAAGUGAAUAGAAUAGAAAUAAUGGCAGGGGGUGUGAGAGGAGGAGAGAAGGUGACUGGAGAAGAUUAGGAGGAAACAGGGGUUGGGACUGAUUGCCUGAGGGAGCAUAUACCUCCCUGUGGAGUCCCAGGAAGGUCACCCCAUGAGGAGGUGGGGUGUGACCAGGGGGGACACAAGAAGUCUGCCUAGGACUGAACACUUAGUGGACUGCACAACCUUCAGAGUGGAAUGAUGCUUCUUUGUGGCACGGGGGUGGGUGCAUUUGCUUUUCCAGUCACCUGUCGGGCUUGGGUGCCAGCCAGAGAAGGGACCACGAGGGCUGACUCCCUAUAUGUGGUUAGGAACCCUAUUCAGAGUCUUUUUUUCUCACCUGUUGUUUUCCUAAACCUCUUAUCAGCCCCGUGAGAUAGGUGUGGCCGGGAUUAUUGACUCUGCUGCAGGUGAGAAAACAGAGAGGCUAGGCCAGUGGCCAAGGACAACCAGGGCUGAUGGAGCUGCUCCUACACCCAGGCUGUCCUCUCCUUGACCUCUUUCCCCCCAGGGGCUCACUCCUAUUCCAGUCACGGUCAAGGAGACGGAGUGCCUAAUCUUUUUGCAAACCGUGGAAACAGGAUUGAUUAAACUGGCAAUAACUUUCCACUAUACCCUAGGAAAACAAAAUACAGAGAGCACCAAGUCUAAUGUGCGGUUGUACGCAAUGGAAUACUUAGAAACGGCGGAGUGGAGGCCCCCGGGUGGCUCAGUGGGUUAAGUGUCUGACUCUUGGUUUCCGAUCAGGUCAUGAGCUCAGUUUCAUGAGUUCAAACCCCGUGUCAGGCUCCGCGCUGGUGACCUGAAGCCCGCUUGGGCUUCUCUGUCUCUCUGCCUCGCUCUCUGCCCCUCCCCGAUCCACACGGUCUCUGUCUCUCUCAAAAUAAAUACAUAAACUUAAAAAAAAAACAAAACAGUGGAAUGGAUAUACACGCGACAGCACGGUUGGAUUUUACGAAGGCAGUGCUGAGUGAAAAGGGUAAGAAAUGGCAGGAGGUACAGGACGCAGUUGGCUUUAGGUCAAUUAAAGAUACAUGCCUACACCCACAACUUUCUUUAAAUGGGCACAAACAAAAAUUCAUAAUCAAACGCAUUUCAAUGGUUAUCUAUGGGGAAGUAAGCAGUAAAAGCUAAUAAAUAACCAAAGGAAAGACCUUGUCUGGACCGAUAAUGGCAACGUGUCAUGAAUUCUAUAUCCUCAACCUCUGUAGCCAGAGAUACGAAACCCGCCAACAAAUAAACAAAGCCAAGACAGACCCCUCAAAAAUACCGCAAAGAUGUAUGAACUGUGAACUUCAGCUUUGCUAAAGCCUUACGCUUUGUUGGCAGUGAGUGAAGGAGGAGGUGGGGGGGACGGGAGGGGGUGGCAGGCAAACCAGUGCCUUUCCUUCUGUGCAUUCACUUCACAGAACUGUUCCCGGUGUCUCCUCAAUGAAAUGACUUAUAACAUCCAUCCAUCCACCCCUCCCUGCAUCCAUUCGCCCAUCCCAAACAUUUAUCGAGUGUUCCUAAAUGGAAGAGCCUCUGCUUUGCCCUGGAAGGGACAAAGAGGUAAGGAAAUCGGAUCUUCCCUGGAGAAGUGUUUUAUCCGGUUUAAGUAUAAGAUGUCAGGGACUAUGUGAAUUUGGAUUUUAAAACGUGCCUAUACAGAGAGCUUGUAAAAAUAGUACUAAAAAAUCUCAUUUUGGUCCACUUCCCUUAGUUACAAUAUAGAAGCCGGGGAGAGAGAACUCAUACUUGGGAUGAGAUAAGUCACGUUGCUGAUUUUACGAUGGAAACCCCAAAGCAACUGAAAAUUGUCUGCCUCUAAAUGAAAGGUUAACCUUAAAAACAAAACAAAACAAAACUAUUCAUUGAUUUAUUUCACUGUGAUGCCAGUUAGGGUUCUGAGCAUUUUCAGUCAGGUAUGAAUGUAUGAGGAAGGUAACUAGAUUAUGCCCAUCUUUACAGACAGAAAACUGAGGGUGACAACACUGAGUAAUUUACUCAAGGUCACACAGUGAUGAAAAAGGGAUUUGAGCCCAGGUAAUUUAAAAUCAAAAGUAUUUUUAUCCCUUACAUCAGGAGGCAGUGACUUUUUUUUUUUUUUUUUUUUUUUUUUUUCUAUUUAAAGCUAGAUAGUAAAUACUUUAGGCUUAGGGUCACAAGUCUGUGUUGACUACUCAGCUCUGCUCUUGUACUGCAACUGAAUGGGCAUGACUGUGGCCAGGAUAGUCAUGCUGCCUGCAUUCUUUCUGGGCGGACUUUCUCACGUCCUCACAGGUAUGCUCUCAUUAGUGUUCCAACAAGGUCUCCAGGGGGAGUGUCUGCAUGCCUCUGGAGAGCUCUCUCCGAAGGCACCAGCUGUUCUGUCCUGGAGCUCAGAAUCUCAUUGCUCUGCUCCAGGCAGGGGCACUGCUGGCCUCAGAAUGCACCUCGUAUUUAAUACAUUGCAUAGAUUGUUUUAAACCAACUCUUUCAGACUACAGACUUAGCUUUUCUUCAAGCCAAGGACAAUUUCCCUCCACUUUAAUGGUUACUUCUUCUCCAUGGACACCUUUUCCUUGUACUGGAAAUUCUAACAGAGGAUCACAAUCCCUUAUCUAACGUAUCUUUGUGUUUUUGCUUUGUUUUGUGUGUGUGUGUGUGUGUGUGUGUGUGUGUGCGCCUUUUGAAAAAUAAAUUUCCAGGGGCACCUGGGUGGCUCCAUUGGUUAAGCGUCUGACUCUUGAUUUUGGCUCAGGUCAUGAUCUCACAGUUCAUAGGAUUGAGCCCCGAGUUGUGUUCUGUGCUGACAGCAUGGAGCCUGCUUGGGAUUCUCUCGCUCUCACUCUCACUCUCGCUCUCUCCUUCUCCCUCUGCCCCUC